rnacentral:lncRNA from 1 species
CACAAUUAAGAAGAAUUACAUUAAAAUUAUGCCAAGUAGCACUCCGCAUCAAAAAUUCUAUUUUUAUCAUUUACCUACUCGAGGACGAGCAGGAAUUAAGCUUGGGGAUGCUUGAUACGUCUCCAAUGUAUCUAUAAUUUUUGAUUGCUCCAUGCUAUAUUAUCUACUGUUUUGGACAUUAUUGGGCUUUAUUAUCCACUUUUAUAUUAUUUUUAGGACUAACCUAUUAGCCGGAGGCCCAGCCCAGAAUUGUUGUUUUUUGCCUCUUUUAGGGUUUCGAAGAAAAGGAAUAUCAAAUGGAGUCCAAACGGAAUGAAACCUUCAGGAACGUGAUAUUCUCACCGAAUACAACUCAGGAGACUUGGACCCUACGUCAAGCCAAUUAACAGGAGGCCACGAGGUAGGGGGCGCGCCUGCCCCCCCCCCCCAGGCGCGCCCUCCACCCUUGUGGGCCCCCUGUUGCUCCACCGACAUACUUCUUCCUCCUAUAUAUACCCACAUACCCCCAAACGAUCAGAUACGGAGCCAAAAACAUAAUUCCACCGCCACAACUUUCUGUAUCCACGAGAUCCCAUCUUGGGGCCUGUUCCGGAGCUCCGCCGGAGGGGGCAUCGAUCACGAAGGGCUUCUACAUCAUCAUCCAAGCCCCUCCGAUGAAGUGUGAGUAGUUUAUUUCAGACCUGUGGGUCCAUAGUUAGUAGCUAGAUGGCUUCUUCUCUCCUUUUGGAUCUCAAUACAAUGUUCCCCCCCUCUCUCGUGGAGAUCUAUUCGAUGUAAUCUUCUUUUUGCGGUGUGUUUGUUGAGACCGAUGGAUUAUGGGUUUAUGAUCAAGUCUAUCUAUGAAUAAUAUUUGAAUCUUCUCUGAAUUCUUUUAUGUAUGAUUGGUUAUCUUUUCAAGUCUCUUCGAAGAAUCAGUUUGGUUUGGCCUACUAGAUUGGUUUUUCUUGCCAUGGGAGAAGUGCUUAGCUUUGGGUUCGAUCUUGCGGUGUCCUUUCCCAGUGACAGAAGGGGCAGCAAGGCAUGUAUUGUAUUGUUGCCAUCGAGGAUAACAAGAUGGGUUUUUUAUCAUAUUGCAUGAAACUAUCCCUCUACAUCAUGUCAUCUUGCUUAAGGCGUUACUCUGUUUUUAACUUAAUACUCUAGAUGCAUGCUGGAUAGCGGUCGAUGAGUGGAGUAAUAGUAGUAGAUGCAGGCAGGAGUCGGUCUACUUGUCUCGGACGUGAUGCCUAUAUACAUGAUCAUACCUAGAUAUUCUCAUAACUAUGCUCAAUUCUGUCAAUUGCUCAACAGUAAUUUGUUCACCCACCGUAGAAUACUUAUGCUCUUGAGAGAAGCCACUAGUGAAACCUAUGGCCCCCGAGUCUCUUUCUCAUCAUAUCAAUCUCCAUCACUUUAUUAUUGCUUUGCUUUUUUACUUUUCCUUUUACUUUUCACUUUGCAUCUCUAUACCAAAAAUACCAAAAAUAUUAUUUAUCAUCUCUAUCAGAUCUCACUUUCGUAAGUGACCGUGAAGGGAUUGACAACCCCUAAGCGCGUUGGUUGCAUUGAGCUAUUGUUUAUGUGUAGGUACAAGGGACUCGCGCAUAGCCUCCUACUGGAUUGAUAACUUGGUUCUCAAAACUGAGGGAAAUACUUAUGUUACUUUGCUGCAUCAUCCUCUCCUCUUCGGGGAAAUCCAACGCAGUGCUCAAGAGGUAGCAAUUACGAACUUUAUUUUUAUCUUUGAAGGAGGUGUCUCGCUCUUCUGGCAACUCAUCUCAAACUCAAUUCCCGGCCUUUAAGACUACCCCUGGGUAAGUAAGAAAUUAUCUUUCCUUUGUGUCUUUCAAACUGCUUCUUUAUACUAACUGUUUCAUAACAUCUUUCUUAGUGGCCAAGCCAAAUCCAAGAAAGCCAAGGUGACUAGGCCGGCGGAAGACCCGCCAGUCCUUGCACCUGAACCGCCCAUGCCACCUUCUCCUCCUCCAACUGAAGCACCAGAAGACUCGGUUGUCAAUGCUAAAGUAGAUCCUCCUAAGCCGUCAGUUGAUGAUACUAUCGUUAAUCCUUCUGCUACUGGUCUGUCCAGCUCAGCCAACCCGCCAUCGCUGUCUGCCCAAGACGUUCUGAUCACUGGAAGCCACUUUGUUGAGUCGGGGAAUCCCACCGUGUUGGCUCGUCACACGGCUAAACAAGAGGCUUUGGAGAGGAAAAAAGUGUGUUUUGACCUUUCUCAUUAUAGCCAUCUGAACGCUAACGGCAUAUUGUCCGGCUAUCUGAGCCAUGUGCACUCCAGCCGUGACUCAGAAAUCGAAAUGGUCAAGCAGUUGCAGCUGAAGUAUGAGGUAUGCUCUUCCGGCUUACUUAUACUCUGUCAGCCCCCCAAGUCUUUAGAUUAUGACAAAACCUUGAAUGAUCGGUAGACUUAUGAUAGUGGCUAAAACUUUACCUUUAGAUAUUUCUGGAGUCCAAUAACAUAUAAUAAACUUCACCGGUAGUCCCCAAGGGCCGGUUCACUUAACCAUAAAUGAGCCGGUACUUUGAAUUUCAUAACUGUCUUGUGCCGAACUCAACAAAUAUUGUAGUCCGGCUUAACCUUGAGAUACUUGCUGAAUAUCAUACAUUAGCCCCCAAGUGCCAAGUGUUGUUACUUUGUAAAGUACUUGGGACUUGAAUUAUAGUAAAGUCUUGGCGAGUCGUCCAGUAGAUUCUCUAUUUUGAAUGAUGUCUCCCAAAGGAGCAGAGCUAACCACGGUGAUUGGGUGACCCUGAAAGUAAUGUUUGAGCUUCCGGCUUGCCAUGAACACCCCAUGCACGAGCUUCUGCCAAUGUGGAUAUCUUUGUUUAGAUUCAAUCAACACCUCACUGACGUAGUAAACCAGCCGUUGAACCGGAUGUUCCUUGCCAACCUCCUUGCGCUCCACCACAAUUGCCACACUAACAGCUUGUGAGUUGGCGGCUACGUAUAGCAAUAGCGGCUCUUUCUCAACUGGAGCAGCAAGGACCGCCGGCUCAGCAAGCUGUUUCUUAAGAUCCUCGAAAGCAGAGUUCACAGCAUCGCUCCAAACAAAAUCAUUUGUUUUCUUCAUCAUCUGAUACAAAGGCAUCGCCUUCUCCCCUAACUGGCUUAUGAACCGGCUCAAAGCAGCAACACGACCCGCCAGGUGUUGAGCGUCAUUGAUGCAUGUUGGUUUGGCCAGGGAUGUGAUUGCCUUAAUUUUCUCCGGGUUAGCUUCAAUACCUCGGUUCGACACCAAAAAACCCAAGAGCUUGCCAUAUGGAACUCCAAAAACGCACUUGGCCGGGUUAAGCGUCAUUUUGUAGACCCAGAGGUUAUCAAAGGUCUCUUUCAGAUCUGUGACCAAGGUUUCCUCUUUCUUGGACUUUACCACUAUAUCAUCCACAUAGGCAUGAACAUUACGCCCAAUCUAAUUGUGAAGGCAAUUCUGCAUACACCGUUGGUAAGUUGCCUGGGCACUCUUGAGCCCGAAGGGCAUAGACACAUAGCAGAAGGCUCCAAACGGAGUGAUGAAAGUUGUCUUCUCCUAGUCCUUGACUGCCAUUGCUAUGUCUUGAGCUUGCGUUGGUUUUCACCGAAGAGGAAGGGAUGAUGCAGCAGAGUAGCGUAAGUAUUUCCCUCAGUCUUUGAGAACCAAGGUAUCAAUCCAGUAGGAGGCCACGCUCAAGUCCCUCAUACCUGCACAAAAUGAUAGCUACUCAGAACCAACACGAUUAGGGGUUGUCAAUCCCUUCACGGUCACUUACGAGAGUGAGAUCUGAUAGAUAUAAUAUUUUUGGUAUUUUUGGUCUAAAGAUGCAAAGUAAAAAUUAAAAGCAAAGUAAAAGGCAAAGCAAGAUUAAAGUGAUGGAGAUUGAUAUGAUGAGAAUAGACCCGGGGGCCAUAGGUUUCACUAGUGGCUUCUCUCAAGAGCAUAAGUAUUCUACGGUGGGUGAACAAAUUACUAUUGAGCAAUUGACAGAAUUGAGCAUAGUUAUGAGAAUAUCUAGGCAUGAUCAUGUAUAUAGGCAUCACGUCUGUGACAAGUAGACCGAAACGAUUCUGCAUCUACUACUAUUACUCCACUCAUCGACCGCUAUCCAGCAUGCAUCUAGAGUAUUAAGUUAAAAACAGAGUAACGCCUUAAGCAAGAUGACAUGAUGUAGAGAGAUAAAUUCAUGCAAUAUGAAAUAAAUCCCAUCUUGUUAUCCUCAAUGGCAACGAUACAAUACGUGCCUUGCUGCCCCUUCUGUCACUGGGAAAGGACACCGCAAGAUCGAACCCAAAGCUAAGCACUUCUCCCAUGGCAAGAACUACCAAUCUAGUUGGCCAAACCAAACGGAUAAUUCGAAGAGACUUGCAAAGAUAACCAAUCAUACAUAAAAGAAUUCAGAGAAGAUUCAAAUAUUACUCAUAGAUAGACUUGAUCAUAAACCCACAAUUCAUCGGUCUCAACAAACACACCGCAAAAAGAAGAUUACAUCGAAUAGAUCUCCACAAGAGAGGGGGAGAACUUUGUAUUGAGAUUCAAAAAGAGAGAAGAAGCCAUCUAGCUACUAACUAUGGACCCAAAGGUCUGAGGUAAACUACUGACACUUCAUCGGAGGGGCUAGGAUGAUGUAGAAGCCCUCCGUGAUGACGGCCCUCUUCCAGCGAAGCACCGGAACAGGCCCCAAGAUGGGAUCUCGUGGAUACAGAAAGUUGCGGCGGUGGAAUUAGGUUUUUGGCUCCUGUUCUGAUCGUUUGGGGGUACGUGUGUAUAUAUAGGAGGAAGGAGUACGUCGGUGGAGCACCGAGGGGCCCACGAGGCAGGGGGCGCGCCCUAGGGGGGGCGCCCCCUACCCUCGUGACCUCCUCUUUGACUCCUUGGAGUAGGGUCCAAGUCUCAUGGAUCACAUUCGGUGAGAAAAUCACGUUCCCGAAGAUUUUAUUCUGUUUGGACUCCGUUUGAUAUUCUGUUUCUCUGAAACACUGAAAUAGGCAAAAAACAACAAUUCUGGGUUGGGCCUACGGUUAAUAGGUUAGUCCCAAAAAUAAUAUAAAAGUGGAAAAUAAAGCCCAAUAUAGUCCAAAAUAGAAGAUAAUAUAGCAUGGAGCAAUCAAAAAUUAUAGAUACGUUGGAGACGUAUCAGGCAUCCCCAAGCUUAAUUCCUGCUCGUCCUCGAGUAGGUAAAUGAUAAAAAGAGAAUUUUUGAUGCGGAGUGCUACUUGGCAUAAUUUCAGUGCAAAUCUUCUUAAUUGUGAUAUGAAUAUUCAGAUUAGAAAGAUUCAAGACAAAAUUUUAUAUUGACAUAAAAAUAAUAAUACUUCAAGCAUACUAACAAAGCAAUUAUGUCGUCUCAAAAUAACAUGGCCAAAGAAAGUUAUCCCUACAAAAUCAUAUAGUCUGGCUAUGCUCUAUCUUCACCACACAAAGUAUUUAAAUCAUGCACAACCCCGAUGACAAGCCAAGCAAUUGUUUCAUACUCACUUUUUCAAAACUUUUCAAUCUUCAUGCAAUACAUGAGCGUGAGCCAUGGAUAUAGCACUAUAGGUGGAAUAGAAUGGUGGUUGUGGAGAAGACAAAAAGGAGGGCAAGAUAGUCUCACAUCAACUAGGCGUAUCAACGGGCUAUGGAGAUGCCCAUCAAUAGAUAUCAAUGUGAGUGAGUAGGGAUUGCCAUGCAACGGAUGCACUAGAGCUAUAAAUGUAUGAACGCUCAACAAAAGAUACUAGUGGGUGUGCAUCCAACUUGCUUGCUCAUGAAGAUCUAGGGCAAUUUGAGGAAGCCCAUCAUUGGAAUAUACAAGCCAAGUUAUAUAAUGUAAAAUUCCCACUAGUAUAUGAAAGUGAUAACAUAAGAGACUCUCUACUAUGAACAUCAUGGUGCUACUUUGAAGCACAAGUGUGGUAAAAGGAUAGUAGCAUUGCCCCUUUUUAUUUCUAUUCUUUUUUUUGGGCCUUCUUUUUUUUCUUUGGCCUUUCUUCUCUUUUUUAUUUUUUUAUUGGGACAAUGCUCUAUUAAAUGAUGAUCAUCACACUUUUAUUUAUUUACAACUCAAUGAUUACAACUCGAUUCUAAAACAAAGUAUGACUCUAUAUGGAUGCCUUCGGCGGUGUACCGGGAUAUGCAAUGAAUCAAGAGUGACAAGUAUGAAGAAAUUAUGAACGGUGGCUUUGCCACAAAUACUAUGUCAACUACAUGAUCAUGCUAAGCAAUAUGACAAUGAUGAAUGUGUCAUGAUGAACUAGAUGGUGGAAAGUUGCAUGGCAAUAUAUCUCGGAAUGGCUAUGGAAAUGCCAUAAUAGGUAGGUAUGCUGGCUGUUUUGAGGAAGGUAUAUGGUAGGUGUAUGAUACCGGCGAAAAGUGCGCGGUAUUAGAGAGGCUAGCAAAGGUGGAAGGGUGAGAGUGCGUAUGAUCCAUGGACUCAACAUUAGUCAUAAAGAACUCAUAUACUUAUUGCAAAAAUCUAGAAGUUAUCAAAGCAAAGUAUUACGCGCAUGCUCCUAGGGGGAUAGAUUGGUAGGAAAAGACCAUCGCUCGUCCCCGACCGCCACUCAUAAGGAAGACAAUCAAUAAAUAAAUCAUGCUCUGACUUCAUCACAUAACGGUUCACCAUACGUGCAUGUGAAAGCACAAGUGCUCCAUGGGUGGUUUUGGUAAUUAAUGUCAACAUAUCUCUUGUUGGACUAACACUUUUACCUAGUAUGUUUCAGAUAAGUUCAACAAUGGAGUGGCAUGGACUAGAGGAUGUGGAACCCUUUCAAGAUGCUAAGGACAAAGGAUUGGCUCAAGCUUCAAGAUCAAGACUCUACAUUUUCUAUUUUAGUGAUCCAAGAUCACAUUGAGUCUAUAGGAAAAGCCAAUACUAUCAAGAGGGGAUGAGGUGUUGCUUAAUGGCUUGCUUGCUCAAAGUGCUUAGUGAUAUGCUCCAAAACCCUCAGCUACCUUCCCACAUCCACAUAUGACCUAAACCAAAAGUCAAACUCGGCCCCACCGAUUCUUUCUAUCCGGCGCCACCGAGUUUCAAAUGUCAUAGCCACUGCCACAAACCCUAGCAAAUCGGUUUCACCGAUAGGGAUCUCGGUCUCACCGAGAUGGGAUUGUAAUCUCUCUGUGUAUGUCCAUUACCAAAAUCGGUCUCAGCGAGUUUGAGCAAUCGGUACUACCAAGAUUACAAUGCAAACCCUCUGGUUAGCUUAUUACCAAAAUCGGUCCCACCUAGUGUAACGCCCUCGAUGCGGCUAUAUCUCCCACGUGUCGAGGCACGACUUAGAGGCAUAGCCGCAUUGAAAGCAAUGUCGCAAGUCGGGAAAUCAUCACACAUCCCAUGUACAUAAAUAAUAUAAAGGGGAAGAACAUAGUUGGCUUACACUCGCCACGUCACAUCAAAGUACAUAAAUAACAUCCAUCAUACAAUUCACUCAUGGCCUGACUACGGCGCCAAAAUAGAAAAGACCCCCAACAAGCGAC